CAGCUAGUUGGUGAGGUAACGGCCCACCAAGGCUAUGAUGGGUAGCUGGUCUGAGAGGACGGACAGCCACACUGGGACUGAGACACGGCCCAGACUCCUACGGGAGGCAGCAGUGAGGAAUUUUCCGCAAUGGGCGAAAGCCUGACGGAGCAACGCCGCGUGAGGGAUGAAGUCUCUAGGGAUGUAAACCUCUGUUGGGAGGGACGAAGAUCUGACGGUACCUCCUGAGGAAGCCCCGGCUAACUACGUGCCAGCAGCCGCGGUAAUACGUAGGGGGCAAGCGUUAUCCGGAUUUACUGGGCGUAAAGAGCGCGUAGGCGGUUCCGUAAGUUGGUUGUGAAAGUUCGAGGCUCAACCUCGAAACUGCGUCCAAUACUGCGGGGCUGGAGUGCAAGAGAGGCAAGUGGAAUUUGCGGUGUAGUAGUGAAAUGCGUAGAUAUCGCAAGGAACACCAGUGGCGAAGGCGGCUUGCUAGCUUGUAACUGACGCUGAGGCGCGAAAGCUAGGGGAGCGAACGGGAUUAGAUACCCCGGUAGUCCUAGCCCUAAACAAUGUUCACUAGGUGUUGGUGGUAUUGACGCCAUCAGUGCCGCAGCUAACGCAUUAAGCACUCCGCCUGGGGAGUACGGCCGCAAG
rnacentral:rRNA from 1 species